UCACUCUGGUUUUCCUUCAUAUCGAGUAAAUCUUUCGCCUUUUACUAAAGAUUUCCGUGGAGGAGAGCACUGAAAUUAGUAUAUCACUCAAUUUUUGAUUUGCCCUGCAUUUGGGCAC
rnacentral:snRNA from 2 species